GGGAAUAUUGCACAAUGGGCGAAAGCCUGAUGCAGCGACGCCGCGUGAGGGAUGACGGCCUUCGGGUUGUAAACCUCUUUCAGCAGGGACGAAGCGCAAGUGACGGUACCUGCAGAAGAAGCACCGGCUAACUACGUGCCAGCAGCCGCGGUAAUACGUAGGGUGCAAGCGUUGUCCGGAAUUACUGGGCGUAAAGAGUUCGUAGGCGGUUUGUCGCGUCGUUUGUGAAAACCAGCAGCUCAACUGCUGGCUUGCAGGCGAUACGGGCAGACUUGAGUACUGCAGGGGAGACUGGAAUUCCUGGUGUAGCGGUGAAAUGCGCAGAUAUCAGGAGGAACACCGGUGGCGAAGGCGGGUCUCUGGGCAGUAACUGACGCUGAGGAACGAAAGCGUGGGUAGCGAACA
rnacentral:rRNA from 1 species